GUGCUCACUUCAGCAGCACAUAUACUAAAAUUGAAACGAUACAGAGAUUAGCAUGGCCCCUGUGCAAAGAUGACAUGCAAAUUCGUGAAGUGUUCCAUAUUAAA